rnacentral:rRNA from 1 species
UACGAAGGGGGCUAGCGUUGCUCGGAAUCACUGGGCGUAAAGCGCACGUAGGCGGGUCCUUAAGUCGGGGGUGAAAGCCCCGGGCUCAACCUGGGAAUUGCAUUCGAGACUGAAUAGCUAGGGUACGGUAGAGGGAAGCGGAAUUUCCGGUGUAGCGGUGAAAUGCGUAGAUAUCGGAAGGAACAUCAGUGGCGAAGGCGGCUUCCUGGACCUGAUCUGACACUGAGGAGCGAAAGCGUGGGGAGCGAUCCGG